AAGCCAUUAUCAGUGGCAGGAAAUGGCAUUCCAGAUAAUAUGAUUGAAGUAGCUAAUCCACGACCAAGACGUGAGAAGCCGUUGGAUCAUUUUCUUGAAGAAAUGAUGGUAGAACGGCGAUUAAAGAAAGAAACUGAUAUCUUGUAUCGUCGUGAGAAAAUGUCUCGUUUAGAUAGACUCAAUGAUAGCAUUGAAUCAAUGGCAGGCAGUAUUGCGGUCAUUGCUGCUGCUAAAAAAGCUAAGAUUGAUAUAUAUAAUUCAGCUUAAGUUGCUGUGAUAGUUAAUUUCUAAGUUUCGUUCAGCAUUGUUGGAGUGCCUUAUUAACUAUUGAUCUCCGUCCAAACUAACCAUCACGUUAUUUGUUCAGUUGUUGGAUCGUUUUUGUUGCUGAUAGUCAUUGUGGCCAUCAGCCAAGGAUACCACGAAAGAUGUUGCAAUAUGCCGUGCAAUCAUAGUGGUGAGAAGCAUUGCCAGUAACAAUGGAAUUUUUAUGCAUUUAAAGAGCUGAAGAUAUUAAAAAAAUUAUAAUUUUUGACGAAACUUUCAAAAGAACUUCAUUAAGCAUAACAGCCAAUUGGUUCAUAAUUCUUAAUCCGUAUCAAAC